GCCAGUGUGGCAUAGUGGUUUGAGCGUUGGGCCGUGACUCUGGUGACCAGGGUUCGAUUCCUUGCUCAGCCA